AUUGAACGCUGGCGGCAUGCCUAACACAUGCAAGUCGAACGAGUGGCGGACGGGUGAGUAAUGUCUGGGAAACUGCCUGAGGGAGGGGGAUAACUACUGGAAACGGUAGCUAAUACCGCAUACCAUCGGAUGUGCCCAGAUGGGCUUAGCUAGGAGGUGGGGUAAAGGCUCACCUAGGCGACGAUCCCUAGUUGGGCUGAGAGGAUGACCGGCCACAUUGGAACUGAUACACGGUCCAGACUCCUACGGGAGGCAGCAGUAGGGAAUAUUGCACAAUGGGCGAAAGCCUGAUGCAGCAAUGCCGCGUGAAUGAAGAAGGGCUUCGGGUUGUAAAGUACUUUCAGCGGGGAGGCGUUAACCGCAGAGGAAGCACCGGCUAACUCCGUGCCAGCCGCCGCGGUAAUUC
rnacentral:rRNA from 1 species